GACGAACGCUGGCGGCGUGCCUAAUACAUGCAAGUAGAACGCUGAAGGAGGAGCUUGCUUCUCCGGAUGAGUUGCGAACGGGUGAGUAACGCGUAGGUAACCUGCCUGGUAGCGGGGGAUAACUAUUGGGAACGAUAGCUAAUACCGCAUAAUAGUAGAUGUUGCAUGACAUUUGCUUAAAAGGUGCAAUUGCAUCACUACCAGAUGGACCUGCGUUGUAUUAGCUAGUUGGUGAGGUAACGGCUCACCAAGGCAACGAUACAUAGCCGACCUGAGAGGGUGAUCGGCCACACUGGGACUGAGACACGGCCCAGACUCCUACGGGAGGCAGCAGUAGGGAAUCUUCGGCAAUGGACGGAAGUCUGACCGAGCAACGCCGCGUGAGUGAAGAAGGUUUUCGGAUCGUAAAGCUCUGUUGUAAGAGAAGAACGAGUGUGAGAGUGGAAAGUUCACACUGUGACGGUAUCUUACCAGAAAGGCGGCU
rnacentral:rRNA from 1 species